rnacentral:rRNA from 1 species
CUCGUAGGCGGUUUGUCGCGUCUGCCGUGAAAGUCCGGGGCUCAACUCCGGAUCUGCGGUGGGUACGGGCAGACUAGAGUGAUGUAGGGGAGACUGGAAUUCCUGGUGCAGCGGUGAAAUGCGCAGAUAUCAGGAGGAACACCGAUGGCGAAGGCAGGUCUCUGGGCAUUAACUGACGCUGAGGAGCGAAAGCAUGGGGAGCGAACA